rfam:Myotis davidii contig89508, whole genome shotgun sequence.
GGCAGUUCUAGGGUGACACACCCCGGAAUGAAGCUCCCUCCUCUCUGGUUCCAGGUGCAUAACCCGAGAACCUCC